rnacentral:rRNA from 1 species
UAGGGAAUCUUCGGCAAUGGGGGGAACCCUGACCGAGCAACGCCGCGUGAGUGAAGAAGGUUUUCGGAUCGUAAAGCUCUGUUGUUAAGGAAGAACGAGUGUGAGAAUGGAAAGUUCAUACUGUGACGGUACUUAACCAGAAAGGGACGGCUAACUACGUGCCAGCAGCCGCGGUAAUACGUAGGUGGCAAGCGUUAUCCGGAAUUAUUGGGCGUAAAGCGCGCGUAGGCGGUUUUUUAAGUCUGAUGUGAAAGCCCACGGCUCAACCGUGGAGGGUCAUUGGAAACUGGAAAACUUGAGUGCAGAAGAGGAAAGUGGAAUUCCAUGUGUAGCGGUGAAAUGCGCAGAGAUAUGGAGGAACACCAGUGGCGAAGGCGACUUUCUGGUCUGUAACUGACGUUGAUGUGCGAAAGCGUGGGUAGCAAACAGG